rnacentral:sRNA from 1 species
GAAAAUCAUAGUGGGGAACAUACUUGUUGAUCUGUGGAGAUCAGAGACAACCAUCAGCCGCCUCUGCAAGAUUGCUGCCAUGAAAAGGAAAAUAGCACACAUGCCAAACAUGACAGUGAUGGGGAAUGCAUUCACCUGCAGAACAUCAUUUGUAUGAUUAAUGUUGAGUGGUAUGCGGAAGAAGUUCAUGAUCGUGCUUCUUGCCUCCUCAGGAAUAUACUGGGACCUCAUCUUCAUGAUUGAUGGCCAGAAAAUGCCAACACAGGAUUCAAAUAUACAGAAACCGAGCAGCUGUAGACAGCCUCCAAAUGAGAUGCCACCACCUUUGACCGAGGAGGGAGCAGACUUACGUUAGUGACAACAGGGAGGAAAAGAGUAAAAGCUGAUAUCGAAAACACAAUCUGCAUAUAACCUUCAACCUUCAGCUUCCGAGCUAACAAACGAGAGGCAAUUGAGCUACCCAACAUAGAGGAGAGCAUGAAUGUGGCAAAUAUGAAGCCAUGAGGAAUUUCUUCAUCAUUU